GAACGCUGGCGGCGUGCCUAAUACAUGCAAGUCGAGCGGACAGAAGGGAGCUUGCUCCCGGAUGUUAGCGGCGGACGGGUGAGUAACACGUGGGUAACCUGCCUGUAAGACUGGGAUAACUCCGGGAAACCGGAGCUAAUACCGGAUAGUUCCUUGAACCGCAUGGUUCAAGGAUGAAAGACGGUUUCGGCUGUCACUUACAGAUGGACCCGCGGCGCAUUAGCUAGUUGGUGGGGUAAUGGCUCACCAAGGCGACGAUGCGUAGCCGACCUGAGAGGGUGAUCGGCCACACUGGGACUGAGACACGGCCCAGACUCCUACGGGAGGCAGCAGUAGGGAAUCUUCCGCAAUGGACGAAAGUCUGACGGAGCAACGCCGCGUGAGUGAUGAAGGUUUUCGGAUCGUAAAGCUCUGUUGUUAGGGAAGAACAAGUGCGAGAGUAACUGCUCGCACCU
rnacentral:rRNA from 1 species